UUCAGAGGAGAAGAGCCUCUGGCGACGCUCACCUAGACACGGCCUGUUGUGUUUAGUGGCAUUUUGUGCUUGGAGACUCAUUUACAGCCGCUCCUCUCCGCUUUCCCUUUCCCAUCUUUUAGUGUGCGGAGGGAUGUGUGUGUGUGUGUCCACAUUCGCGUGUGUUUGUGGGUGUCCUUCUGAAAUGGAGCGGUCUCUCUUGCCUCAACUCCUUUCCUUCUCAUUAAAUUUGGGGGUUAUAUUUGCAUGUCCUCACCUUCAGAAAGAAGGUUGUUCAUGUGUUGAGGUGCUUCUUUUUAUACAGUCUAUGUGUGUGUGUGUGUGUGUGUGUGUGUGUGUGUGUGUGUGUGUGUGUGUGUGUGAAUGCACACAUUCACAAGAGAGAGAAAAAAACAGUGUGGGACAAACCCUGAAAAAGCAAAGGACAUUACCAGUGACUUAGCUUUGAUUGUGUACAAUAGAACACCUAUCCAGUCGGUGUGUCCAGAUCCAAUUUUGAUAUCAGAUAUCAGUCCGAUAUGAGCACAAAAAGGGAUAUCGGAUUAUAGAUUUAUAAUUUUUAUGUUCAAAAAUCGUUUUUUUUCUUCCAAAAUUAAAAAUAAAUCCUAAAAACUGACUUAUCGUAUUUUUCUCACAUAAAAUCCUAAAAUUGAUGGUGCACCUUAUAAUCAGGUGCGCCUUUAUAGUGCAAAUAAUACGGUACAUGUGAUGUGUAUUUUUUGGGGGAAAUAUGGUUCCUGGAUUAGUCAGUUGACGAUCAUAAUCACUCAACUGUUUCACUGGUGUUAAAAAUGAAGACUAAAAAUCGAGAAAUUUGACAAUAUUGUAGAUUCGCAAUUUGAAUCGAAUCCAAAAAAUCGUAGAAGAAUCGAACUGGGAGAAAAGCAUAUCGUCCAAGCCCUGAUCUAAAAUCUUCGAUACAAGCAGUCCAUUCCAGACUCCGCUCUGGUACCUCUAUCUGGCAGUGCCCAGAUCCAGCAUGCAGAGCCCAUGUGAUCAAUAUCAGAUCAAUAUUGGUACCUGCCAAUCCUGAAGGCUUCAAUAUCGAUAUUGUAUUGGAAGUAAAAAAGUUGUAUCAGGACAUCCCUACUAUCCAGUACCAACUCUGCAAUUAUUCAGCUGUAACCCAACAUCUCACUGUGCAGCGAAACAUCACAUUUCCUUUAAAAAUCAUGGCACCCCAACAACAUAGUAAGCAAGGACUACAUAUUCAUAUACAAGAGGUAACACGUGUGCAGUGAAGUGACUAUAUCAGUGAUGUUUUGAGGAAUACCAUUGAGAGAUAGAUUAUAUAGGAUUUCUCCUGUGACCAUGAGUCAGAGUCACAGCCUACAUCUUUUAUUCAACUUCAGCGUCAGACGGAUGAGUCCUCAGUUAAAUAUGCAGGUACAGCCGCUAUAAUUGGAGAUAUUGGUCCCUGCUGUGCUCGACUCCAGUCAAACCAAGUCAAGCCAUUUCAGCACACUGCUGAUGUCAAAUCUCCAGACAGAACCAGAGAAGCGGUACAAAUGAAUGCACCCAUUAUACAGUACAUUGUUGUUAUUAGCCAACAUGAAUUUGGAGCGAUAACAUGGGUUUACCCGAUGACUGAGCCACAGUGCUCUUUCACUGAAAAAUAACACAGACUUUAAUGCAAGGAGGAGGUGGUGCUCUUCAGUCAGCAAUGCUUCAAAAGACCUCCUGUAGGUGAUAUCACAUUAUGACACUUUUGUAUCGUUCAAGAAAUUAUACUGACAUUAUCGUGGGCGAAAUGAUACAGCGCAGCCCUAGUUAUGACACUGAGGUGGACUCACAAUUUAAAAAGGGAAGUUAAUACUGUAAUCCAGUUGAUAAAGAGGGAAAAACACAAGAGAGCCGGGUUAAUAUCUAGUGUAAUGUUCUUGGUCGCUGCCAUUGUGAAGCUCUCACUGUCACAGCUGUAUUGCCUCAAGAGCUGUGUUGCAUGCACUUCAGUUUUAUGUGUCCCAUACCGCAGAGCAUGUAAAAUAGAUAACAUGGGAGUUGUUCUACAGUGAAAGCAGGACUUUGUUAAACUGUAUGAUCUAAAGACAAGGUAGAAAAUAAAUAAGAAACACACAAACACACAACAACAAAUAAAAAAUAAUAAAAUAAUAAUAAAUAAUAGUAUCCAGGCAAAUACUCAAAAUGUAAAAAAUUUGAUCAGGAUUGGGGCCCAAAGGCUGAUCGGGACAUCUCUAUGUUAAUGCAA